AUAUAACAAUACUCACUGAUGGGAUGUUCAAUAUAAGAGUGAUAAUAU
rnacentral:guide_RNA from 1 species